rnacentral:rRNA from 1 species
CACGUAGGCACCAAGCGUUGUCCGGAUUUAUUGGGCGUAAAGAGCUCGUAGGCGGUUCAGUAGGUCGGGUGUGAAAACUUUGGGCUUAACCCAAAGCGUGCAUCCGAUACUGCUGUGACUUGAGUACGGUAGGGGAGCGGGGAAUUCCUAGUGUAGCGGUGAAAUGCGUAGAUAUUGGGAAGAACACCUGAGGCGAAGGCGGGUUGCUGGGCUGAUACUGACGCUGAGGCGCGAAAGCCAGGGGAGCAAACGGG